rnacentral:rRNA from 1 species
GAUCUGGCUCAGGAUGAACGCUAGCGACAGGCUUAACACAUGUAAGUCGAGGGGCAGCACGAUGUAGCAAUACAUUGGUGGCGACCGGCGCACGGGUGAGUAACGCGUAUGCAACCUACCUAUCAGAGGGGAAUAACCCGGCGAAAGUCGGACUAAUACCGCAUAAAACAGGGGUUCCACAUGGAAAUAUUUGUUAAAGAAUUAUCGCUGAUAGAUGGGCAUGCGUUCCAUUAGAUAG